UGCAAACAUGAGAGAGUGUGUGUGACAGAACAGCAAAGUUCAGAGUGGUAUUCAUGUUAAUGGAGGAAAGGGUCUGGAUGAAGAAAUGGGGAGCAUUGCUACUGCAGCUGCCACUGUUGCUGUGACCUGUGGUGUUGUCUGUUGCUACUUUAACCUAUGGUCAUGAUUAAUACUGCUCUGACCUGAAUUUUUUUCUUCUUUCAAUUUAAAAACAUCUUUAAAGUUUUUAUAUUUUUUCUCAUCAGUCUGGGCUUUUUUUCCCCACUUUGUGUAAGUUUAGACAGGUCUCAAGAUAGCGUGGGCCAAAAUGGUGAAGAUUGGACAAUAUUUGGACGAGGAGCAGCAAAAAUGGCACUUAGAUGGAAGCAAUUUUGGCAACUAACGGUGACCUGAAACUUAAUUAAGCUGCGUGACAACAAUAUCUCCCUCUAAGGUUUCGUGUUGGCUGCCCCGACCAUAUGGCAAAGGAAGCGCGCAUUCACAAAAAGCUUGCCCCAGAAAUGCUGUGCUAGUACCACAGAGGUACUAUGAAGAGUGCUACGGCUCAAAACUAUCCUUUUUAACGAGUUUUAUCUGUAGAAUGUUAUAUUCUAGAAGUGAAAGGCAAAUGUCA
ensembl:lncRNA